GGCGGCAGGAGAGUGGGGUCAUAAAAGUGCCAUCCGGGUUUAUCAUCGGGUACAGCAUAGAGAUCACCGGGACACUAGGGGUGACAUAGGAGUGACGGGGGGGUCCGGACCGAAUGAUAUUAAAGGUCCGUUCAUGGGCGCUGGCUGGGGACAAGAUGGCGCUGUAGCUAACACGGGAAGUGAUGGGACGUGCCAGGGAGUAGUUACCAAGGUGUGGUUUUGUGGGUGGGGAGCCCCACAGGCAAGGCACAUAUCACGGGAGGAGGGAUUCUGUUGACCACAUGUUUUGUAGGUC